AACGCAUAUUGCACUCUCUGGUAUUCCGGAGAGUACGCCUGUUUCAGUAUCAAAAAUGUCAUCCAAUGUUUUGGCUUGUUGUACCAAAACUUGUGGGAUUUGGGUUUUGCAGGAAUUCUUUCUGCUGGCCUUAAAUGGUUCGGCCACAAAAUCCAGGCGAUAAGGCGUAAUAGUUGGUACUUUUGGUAUCAUCCUUUCGCUGAAGCUUGUCUUUUGAAUCAAUGGCUCGACAAUAUGGAAAAAUGAAAUAUAUAUUUCACCAUUGUUUAGAUCUGAAAUCAGGUGGGACUACCCGCUGAACUUAA
rnacentral:misc_RNA from 1 species